rnacentral:rRNA from 1 species
CAGUCGCCACGGUAAUACAGAGGGUGCGAGCGUUAAUCGGAUUUACUGGGCGUAAAGCGUGCGUAGGCGGCUUCUUAAGUCGGAUGUGAAAUCCCUGAGCUUAACUUAGGAAUUGCAUUCGAUACUGGGAAGCUAGAGUAUGGGAGAGGAUGGUAGAAUUCCAGGUGUAGCGGUGAAAUGCGUAGAGAUCUGGAGGAAUACCGAUGGCGAAGGCAGCCAUCUGGCCUAAUACUGACGCUGAGGUACGAAAGCAUGGGGAGCAAACAGGAUUAGAUACCCCAGUAGUCCCUGUCUCUUAUAA